rnacentral:tRNA from 1 species
CAAUGGCUCAGCUGGUAAAGAAUCCGCCUGCAAUGCGGGAGACCCAGGUUCGAUUCCUGAGUUG